AUUGAACGCUGGCGGCAUGCCUUACACAUGCAAGUCGAACGGUAACAGGUCUUCGGAUGCUGACGAGUGGCGAACGGGUGAGUAAUACAUCGGAACGUGCCUAGUAGUGGGGGAUAACUACUCGAAAGAGUGGCUAAUACCGCAUGAGAUCUACGGAUGAAAGCAGGGGAUCGCAAGACCUUGUGCUACUAGAGCGGCCGAUGGCAGAUUAGGUAGUUGGUGGGAUAAAAGCUUACCAAGCCGACGAUCUGUAGCUGGUCUGAGAGGACGAUCAGCCACACUGGGACUGAGACACGGCCCAGACUCCUACGGGAGGCAGCAGUGGGGAAUUUUGGACAAUGGGCGAAAGCCUGAUCCAGCAAUGCCGCGUGCAGGAUGAAGGCCUUCGUGUUGUAAACUGCUUUUGUACGGAACGAAAAGCCCCGGGCUAAUACCCUGGGGUCAUGACGGUACCGUAAGAAUAAGCACCGGCUAACUACGUGCCAGCCGCCGCAGUAA
rnacentral:rRNA from 1 species